rfam:Triticum urartu cultivar G1812 contig729842, whole genome shotgun sequence.
UUACUACUCCCUCCGUUCCAAAUUACUCGUCGCAGAAAUGGAUGUAUCUAGAACUAAAAUACAUCUAGAUACAUCCAUACCUGCGACAAGUAAUUCAAAACGGAGGGAGUAGAAA